rnacentral:rRNA from 1 species
AGCAGCCGCGGUAAUUCCAGCUCCAAUAGCGUAUAUUAAAGUUGCUGCAGUUAAAAAGCUCGUAGUUGAAUUUCGGGACUAAUAUGUCGGUCGUGCCUCGGUACGUACUGGUUUAUUGGUUUCUCCUUUCUGAAGAACCAUGAUGUCAUUUAUUUGGUGUCGUGGGGAAUCAGGACUGUUACUUUGAAAAAAUUAGAGUGUUUAAAGCAGGCUCACGCUUGAAUACAUUAGCAUGGAAUAAUGAAAUAGGACGUUUGAUUCUAUUUUGUUGGUUUCUAGGAUCGACGUAAUGAUUAAUAGGGAUAGUUGGGGGCAUUAGUAUUCAAUUGUCAGAGGUGAAAUUCUUGGAUUUAUUGAAGACUAACUACUGCGAAAGCAUUUGCCAAGGAUGUUUUCAUUAAUCAAGAACGAAAGUUAGGGGAUCGAAGACGAUCAGAUACCGUCGUAGUCUUAACCAUAAACUAUGCCGACUAGGGAUCGGAUGAUGUAAUUUUUAAUGACUCAUUC